rnacentral:lncRNA from 1 species
UGAAGCCCAAAGCUACAUGGAGAGGCAUGUAGACAACUGAGGCUAUUCUGGCAGUAGCUCUAACUGAGUUUCCAACUUCUAGCCAGCACCAAUGGCCAGCUAGGAGCAUCAGAUGACUCCAAACCAGUCAACACUACGUGGAGCAGAAGAACCAACCAGCUGAGCCCGGUCAACCCACAGACUCUUGAGAGAAAAACAACUGUUGUUUUAAACCACUACAUUUUGAGGUGGUUUGUUACAUAGCCACGAGUAACCAAAUCAGCAAGAACAAAUCAAAGGAGGGCAAAAGCAGAUGCUGAGAUAGGCUUUGAACCUAAAACUCAGUGACUUCAAGACCCUGCCCCUAUCCACUAUGCUAUGUAACACCUAAGUCUCUCUGACUGCUGAUGCUCUGGCUUAACUUUCAUACUCAUCUGCCUGCCUUCUUACUGCCUUUCAGAUUCAGGGCCUAUUCUCCUGCCAGCUCUGACUUCCCUCAGCUGUCUCCUGUCCUGACCCUUCCCUGGGAACCCUGUGUGGCUGACGCCUAUGAGAAUAUCUGACAGCACACAUAAUACAGUGGCUUUAUGCAAUAAAGGACGUGCAUGCACACACACAUAUAUGCACAUGACGAGGCAGCUGCAGGAGAGUGGAAAGAAUCUGGGAUUUGGAGGCCAAAGACCUUCUUCUUGCUCACUUUACGGCUUUCAAGUAAGUCACUUCACUUCUCUGUGCCUCUUUAGCUAAGAGUAUUUUCCUUAUUCUUCUCAGAUUUAGUGAAAAUACCUAAUAUUUAUUGCGGCUUAAUUCAAGUGCUAGGGAAUGUGUGGAGUGUCUCAUUGAAUCUUUAUAACAAGCCUACAAGGUAGUUAAUGUUAUUGUCUCAUUUAAAAAGGAGAGGUCUGAGGCACAGGAGGGUUGAGUAACUUGCCCAAGGACACAGAGCUGGUAGGUGGCAGAGCUGCAUUUUAAGAGGGCCUUUAGUUGCAAUCAACAGAAGCUGACUGUAGAUGUUUAAGCAGAAAAAAAAAAGUCUUUGAGAGACUGAUGAGUGGUCGGGGGACCCAGCUUGAUUCUGAGCUUCCAAAGCAUAGCACAGAGUGGGCCUGGUAAGGAAACCACCUCUCCACUGGGAAGUGGCCUUUUGUGCCACUGCUCUUGGCUCCAGCCCUGAUGCCACUUCACCCUCAGGAAUUCCACUUUGUAGCCUUGCCACCCACCAGAGCCAGCAGGCUUGACUGUCCCAUUCAAAAGCAAAAUGCAUUCCAAGGGAACCUUCUUUCCCAAUUUUCCCACUCCUAGAGACAGUCCCAACAAGUGAGCCUGCCUGGUGAAACCUAGGUCAUCUCCAACAACUGGGCUGCAAAGGUGGCUGGGACCAUGAGAGUUCUGGGUUCUCCCUGAGGACACAGAACACAUGGGCCUGGAAGACGUCCAAGGAUAGGAGGGUGUCCAGAAGGUCUAUACAGCCAAAAGCAGAGCAAAUGCCCACUUGUCACUCGGAUUCACACCAGGUAGGCUGACCUAGAGCCUACUUGACUGGCUUAGAUGAGAUGAUGGUGUGAAAAAGGUCUAUCCAAUAUAAAGUCCUUCUGGAGGCUGGGGGUGGGGGUGCUUCUCUGUGGUGGGAGCUGAGGGAGAGACUCAGGUUACUGGUCAGAAAGUGACCAGUCUUACCAAAUGGAGUGAUUUGCAUUCAGAUCGCUAUCACGUCAGGUUAAUUUGUGCUCAAGUGGCUCACGGUAAGUGAUAACAUGGACAAGAACUAGGAGGGAAACCCUUUUAGUACCAUCCAUGAAGAUGCCUUUGUCCUUGUUUCUGGAUGUAGCCUGCCAUCAGUCACACUGAACUACUCACCACCUCUUGUUCUUUCCCACCUCAGUCCCUUUCCACCUGAUUUUCUCCUGCCCAGAAUGCCUUUCUUUUCCCUGCGUGGCAGGCUCUCAUAUAUUCUCAAAAUAAAAAUAAUAAUAGCAUAUAUGUGUAUGUAUACAUACAUAUAUGCUUUUUAAUAUAUAUACUUUAUGUAUAUACGUGUAUAUGCUUUAAAUUUUUUCUAUGUUCUAGACACUGCUCUAAGUGUUUUAUAUAGGUAAGUUCAUC